GACGAACGCUGGCGGCGUGCCUAAUACAUGCAGGUAGAACGCUGAAGGAGGAGCUUGCUUCUCUGGAUGAGUUGCGAACGGGUGAGUAACGCGUAGGUAACCUGCCUGGUAGCGGGGGAUAACUAUUGGAAACGAUAGCUAAUACCGCAUAACAGUAGAUGUUGCAUGACAUUUGCUUAAAAGGUGCAAUUGCAUCACUACCAGAUGGACCUGCGUUGUAUUAGCUAGUUGGUGGGGUAACGGCUCACCAAGGCGACGAUACAUAGCCGACCUGAGAGGGUGAUCGGCCACACUGGGACUGAGACACGGCCCAGACUCCUACGGGAGGCAGCAGUAGGGAAUCUUCGGCAAUGGACGGAAGUCUGACCGAGCAACGCCGCGUGAGUGAAGAAGGUUUUCGGAUCGUAAAGCUCUGUUGUAAGAGAAGAACGAGUGUGAGAGUGGAAAGUUCACACUGUGACGGUAUCUUACCAGAAAGGGACGGCUAACUACGUGC
rnacentral:rRNA from 1 species